rnacentral:rRNA from 1 species
AAUGAACGCUGGCGGCAUGCCUAACACAUGCAAGUCGAACGAAGGCUUCGGCCUUAGUGGCGCACGGGUGCGUAACGCGUGGGAAUCUGCCCUUGGGUUCGGAAUAACAGUUAGAAAUGACUGCUAAUACCGGAUGAUGUCGUGAGACCAAAGAUUUAUCGCCCAAGGAUGAGCCCGCGUAGGAUUAGCUAGUUGGCGGGGUAAAGGCCCACCAAGGCGACGAUCCUUAGCUGGUCUGAGAGGAUGAUCAGCCACACUGGGACUGAGACACGGCCCAGACUCCUACGGGAGGCAGCAGUGGGGAAUAUUGGACAAUGGGCGAAAGCCUGAUCCAGCAAUGCCGCGUGAGUGAUGAAGGCCUUAGGGUUGUAAAGCUCUUUUACCCGGGAUGAUAAUGACAGUACCGGGAGAAUAAGCUCCGGCUAACUUCGUGCCAGCCGCCGCAGUAACAC